rnacentral:rRNA from 1 species
GAUUAGAUACCCCUGUAGUCCCAGCUGUAAACGAUGCGCGUUAGGUGUAUCGGUGACCACGAGUCAUCGAGGUGCCGAAGGGAAACCGUGAAACGUGCCGCCUGGGAAGUACGGUCGCAAGGCUGAGACUUAAAGGAAUUGGCGGGGGAGCACCACAACGGGUGGAGCCUGCGGUUUAAUUGGACUCAACGCCGGACAACUCACCGGGGACGACAGCAAAAUGUAGGCCAGGCUGAAGACCUUGCCUGAAUCGCUGAGAGGAGGUGCAUGGC